UCAAUUUUCUAAGAGCAGACGGUGGAUGCCUUGGCAUCUGGAGCCGAAGAAGGACGUAUAAAUCUGCGAUAAGCCUCGGGGAGCUGAUAAUAGAGCUUUGAUCCGAGGAUUUCCGAAUGGGGAAACCCCGUCAGGCGUUGCAAGACGACCUGAUGACUCCCGCCUGAAUAUAUAGGGCGGGUAGAGGGAACGUGGGGAAGUGAAACAUCUCAGUACCCACAGGAAGAGAAAACAACCGUGAUUCCGUUAGUAGUGGCGAGCGAAACCGGAACAGGCCAAACCGAUCAUGUGUGAUAGCCGGCAGGCGUUGCAUGGUCGGGGUAGCGGGACUUUUCUGCUGUUACUGCCGUACAGCAAGCGUUACAACGAUAUAUAGGCGAAUGGCAUUGAAAGGCCAGUCAUAGAGGGUGCCAACCCCGUAGCCGAAAUGUAUCAAUGGCGCGAAGAGUAUCCCAAGUAGCACGGGGCCCGAGAAAUCCCGUGUGAAUCUGCCAGGACCACCUGGUAAGCCUAAAUACUCCCAGAUGACCGAUAGCGGACAAGUACCGUGAGGGAAAGGUGAAAAGUACCCCGGGAGGGGAGUGAAAUAGUACCUGAAACCGUUUGCUUACAAACCGUUGGAGCCUCCUUAGCAGGGGUGACAGCGUGCCUUUUGAAGAAUGAGCCUGCGAGUUAGCGAUACGUGGCGAGGUUAACCCGUGUGGGGUAGCCGUAGCGAAAGCGAGUCUGAAUAGGGCGAUUCAGUCGCGUGUCCUAGACCCGAAGCGAAGUGAUCUAUCCAUGGCCAGGUUGAAGCGACGGUAAGACGUCGUGGAGGACCGAACCCACUUAGGUUGAAAACUGAGGGGAUGAGCUGUGGAUAGGGGUGAAAGGCCAAUCAAACUUCGUGAUAGCUGGUUCUCUCCGAAAUGCAUUUAGGUGCAGCGUUGCGUGUUUCUUGCCGGAGGUAGAGCUACUGGAUGGCCGAUGGGCCCUACAAGGUUACUGACGUCAGCCAAACUCCGAAUGCCGGUAAGUGAGAGCGCAGCAGUGAGACUGUGGGGGAUAAGCUUCAUAGUCGAGAGGGAAACAACCCAGACCACCAACUAAGGUCCCAAAGCGCGUGCUAAGUGGGAAAGGAUGUGGAGUUGCUGUGACAACCAGGAGGUUGGCUUAGAAGCAGCCACCCUUGAAAGAGUGCGUAAUAGCUCACUGGUCAAGUGAUUCCGCGCCGACAAUGUAACGGGGCUCAAGCACACCACCGAAGUUGUGACAUUCGCGCAUUGCCCGGCCUUCGGGUCCAGGCGCGCGGAUGGGUAGGGGAGCGUCGUGUGGCCAGCGAAGCGGCGGGGAAACCCAGCCGUGGAGGCCACACGAGUGAGAAUGCAGGCAUGAGUAGCGAAAGACGGGUGAGAAACCCGUCCGCCGAAUGACCAAGGGUUCCAGGGCCAGGCUAAUCCGCCCUGGGUAAGUCGGGACCUAAGGCGAGGCCGACAGGCGUAGUCGAUGGACAACGGGUUGAUAUUCCCGUACUGACGAAGAACCGCCCAAACUAAUCCAGUAGUGCUAAGAGUCCUAAUCCGGCUGACGGAUCCCUUCGGGGUGAAGCGGCCGGCCUAACGCUCGACCCCGUUCUGGUGCGGUUAGCGUAUUAACAGGUGUGACGCAGGAAGGUAGCCGUACCGGGCGAUGGUUGUCCCGGUGUAAGGACGUAGGGCGAGAGAUAGGCAAAUCCGUCUCUCACAUAGCCUGAGAUCUGAUGCAUAGCCCUCACGGGCGAAUUCGGUGAUCCUAUGCUGCCAAGAAAAGCAUCGACGCGAGGUUCCAGUCACCCGUACCCCAAACCGACUCAGGUGGUCAGGUAGAGAAUACCAAGGAGAUCGAGAGAAUCGUGGUUAAGGAACUCGGCAAAAUGCCCCCGUAACUUCGGGAGAAGGGGGGCCUGAGGCGUGAAGGGAUUUACUCCUGGAGCGUUCGAUGGCCGCAGAGACCAGUGGGAAGCGACUGUUUACUAAAAACACAGGUCCGUGCUAAGUCGCAAGACGAUGUAUACGGACUGACGCCUGCCCGGUGCUGGAAGGUUAAGAGGAACGGUUAGCCGCAAGGCGAAGCUGAGAAUUUAAGCCCCAGUAAACGGCGGUGGUAACUAUAACCAUCCUAAGGUAGCGAAAUUCCUUGUCGGGUAAGUUC
rnacentral:rRNA from 1 species